rnacentral:rRNA from 1 species
GCCAAAAAUCUAGCCCAACAAAUACGCAUAUCACUAAACCAACUUACCUUUUUAAAUAAAACAUUCUUACAUCUUAGUAAAGGCGAUUGAAAAAUUUAUUGGAGCUAUAACAAUAGUACCGCAAGGGAAUGAUGAAAUACUCAAUGAAAAAUCUUCAAGCAAUAAAAAGUAAAGAUCACCCCCUGUACCUUUUGCAUCAUGGUUUAACUAGUCUAAUCAAGCAAAAAGCACUUUAAGUUUGACUUCCCGAAACUAAGUGAGCUACUUCGAGGCAGCUUUUAGAGCGAACCCAUCUCUGUAGCAAAAGAGUGGGAAGACCCCCAAGUAGCGGUGACAGACCUAACGAACUUAGUGAUAGCUGGUUACUCAAGAAACGGAUCUAAGUCCAACCUGAAUUUUCUUCAUAGUACAACAAAACAGACAUCUUUAAAUUCAGAGCAAUUCAAAUAAGGUACAGCCUAUUUGAAACAGGACACAACCUAAACUAAUGGAUAACAACGGCUUCCAAUACAACAAAGUGGGCCUAAAAGCAGCCAUCUUUAAAAUAGCGUCAAAGCUUAAUUGUUAACACGCCUAAUUACUUCACCUCUAUGUAAAUCCUCUACCCCUACUGAGUAAUUCUAUACUACUAUAGAAAAUUUUAUGUUAAAACUAGUAACAAGAAGAAGACCCUUCUCUUAAAUGCAAGUGUACAUCAGAAAGGACAAACCACUGAUAUUUAACGUAAAUGAGACCAAAGUAAAAACUCAACAAGAAAACUUUACUACAACCUACGUUAACCUAACACAAGAGCAUUACAAGAAAGAUUAAAAGAAAAAGAAGGAACUCGGCAAAUAUUAACCCCGCCUGUUUACCAAAAACAUCGCCUCUUGAACCCCAUAAGAGGUCCAGCCUGCCCAGUGACAAUGUUCAACGGCCGCGGUAUCCUAACCGUGCGAAGGUAGCGUAAUCACUUGUUCUUUAAAUGAGGACUAGUAUGAAUGGCAUCACGAGGGUUAUACUGUCUCCUUUUUCCAAUCAGUGAAACUAAUCUUCCCGUGAAGAAGCGGGAAUGACUCUAUAAGACGAGAAGACCCUAUGGAGCUUAAAACAACAUGGCACUUACCACACAAAUCUCUAAUUCCCGAAUACCUUAUUAUCUAAGUAAACUGUCCAUAAGUUUUUGGUUGGGGUGACCGCGGAGCAUAAAAUAACCUCCACAUUGAAAGAAUCUUUUCUUAGUUAAGAUCUACAAAUCUAAACAUCAGUAUUCUGACAUCUAUUGACCCAAUACAUUUGAACAACGAACCAAGUUACCCUAGGGAUAACAGCGCAAUCCACUUCAAGAGCCCCUAUCGACAAGUGGGUUUACGACCUCGAUGUUGGAUCAGGGUAUCCCAGUGGUGCAGCCGCUACUAAAGGUUCGUUGUUCAACGAUAAAA